rnacentral:misc_RNA from 1 species
GUGAGUCAUCGAAUCUUUGAACGCACAUUGCGCCCGCCAGUAUUCUGGCGGGCAUGCCUGUUCGAGCGUCAUUUCAACCCUCAAGCCCCAGUCGGCUUGGUGUUGGGGACCGGCCCCGGCCGCCCCCCAAAUGCAGUGGCGACCUCGCCGCAGCCUCCCCUGCGUAGUAGCACAACCUCGCACCGGAGCGCGGAGACGGUCACGCCGUAAAACGCCCAACUUCUUAGAGUUGACCUCGGAUCAGGUAGGAAUACCCGCUGAACUUAAGCAUAUCAAUAAGCGGAGGA